rnacentral:rRNA from 1 species
UGCGUAGGCGGCGUUAUAAGUCAGAAGUGAAAUCCCAUCGCUUAACGAUGGAACUGCUUUUGAUACUGUAAUGCUUGAAUUAGGUUGAGGUUAGCGGAAUGUGGCAUGUAGCGGUGAAAUGCUUAGAUAUGCCAUAGAACACCAAUUGCGAAGGCAGCUGGCUGGACCUAUAUUGACGCUGAGGCACGAAAGCGUGGGGAGCGAACAGGAUUAGAUACCCUGGUAGUCC